AUCAAUGCUCUAUUGUAUAUAUAUAUAUAUCUUUAUAUCAGAGUUCAUACAAUGUCAAUGUGUAAAUCAUAAGCCAGUGAAAAGCAUUGUGAUCAACGAUGGUCACAUAUGAUGAUUGUGGUCAGAGACGACAUGAAGGAAAGCCCAAAACAGACAGUUCAAAUACCUGAUCAUGUUCAUAGGAUUGAUCAACUUUUAAGCCAUUUCAGACGUGAAGUAAUUUUACAGAAGAGAUGCAGGUUUUGUUCUCAACAAAGAGCAGAUGACGAUUUCAGUUAAACAAAACCUCAGACAUUUAUCUGAUGGUUGAAGCUCUGUCCCACAAAACAACUCGAGUAGUCUCAUCUAUUCGUUUUAAGCAAUAUGAGAAAGAGACAGAAGCAGACAGACAGAAGCAGACAGACAGGUGGUCAGUGGACUCUGAAGUGAGAGCACAGAGAGAACCUUUUCCCAGUGUGCUUUAUGUGAAUGAACGAGGGGAGGAACAGCUGAGAAGAACACCACCGACCACGCAGAUGGACAAACAUGCCACUAGAGCUACUAUUCAUUUUA